rnacentral:rRNA from 1 species
AACGAACGCUGGCGGCAGGCCUAACACAUGCAAGUCGAGCGAAGCCUUCGGGCUUAGCGGCGGACGGGUGAGUAACGCGUGGGAACGUGCCCUUUGCUACGGAAUAGCCCCGGGAAACUGGGAGUAAUACCGUAUGUGCCCUUCGGGGGAAAGAUUUAUCGGCAAAGGAUCGGCCCGCGUUGGAUUAGGUAGUUGGUGGGGUAAUGGCCCACCAAGCCGACGAUCCAUAGCUGGUUUGAGAGGAUGAUCAGCCACACUGGGACUGAGACACGGCCCAGACUCCUACGGGAGGCAGCAGUGGGGAAUCUUAGACAAUGGGCGGAAGCCUGAUCUAGCCAUGCCGCGUGAUCGAUGAAGGCCUUAGGGUUGUAAAGAUCUUUCAGGUGGGAAGAUAAUGACUGUACCACCAGAAGAAGCCCCGGCUAACUCCGUGCCAGCCGCCGCCGUAAAAC